rnacentral:rRNA from 1 species
AUUGAACGCUGUCGGCAGGCCUAAUACAUGCAAGUCGAACGAGUGGCGGACGGGUGAGUAAUGUCUGGGAAACUGCCCGAUGGAGGGGGAUCACUACUGGAAACGGUAGCUAAUACCGCAUACCAUCGGAUGUGCCCCGAUGGGAGUAGCUAGUAGGUGGGGUAACGGCUCACCUAGGCGACGAUCCCUAGCUGGUCUGAGAGGAUGAACGGCCACACUGGAACUGAGACACGGUCCAGACUCCUACGGGAGGCAGCAGUGUGGAAUAUUGCACAAUGGGCGCAAGCCUGAUGCAGCCAUGCCGCGUGUAUGAAGAAGGCCUGCGGGUUGUAAAGUACUUUCAGCGAGGAGGCGUUACUCGCAGAAGAAGCACCGGCUAACUCCGUGCCAGCAGCCGCGGUAAUUC